GAUGAACACUAGCGGCAGGCCUAACACAUGCAAGUCGAGGGGUAGCAGGAUUAAGCUUGCUUAAUUGCUGACGACCGGCGCACGGGUGCGUAACGCGUAUGCAACCUACCUUAUACUGGGGUAUAGCCCGGAGAAAUUCGGAUUAAUCCCCCAUAGUACUAAUGAAUCGCAUGGUUUAUUAGUUAAAGCAUUGCGGUAUAAGAUGGGCAUGCGUCCUAUUAGCUAGAUGGUGAGGUAACGGCUCACCAUGGCUACGAUAGGUAGGGGGCCUGAGAGGGUGGUCCCACACACUGGUACUGGGACACGGACCAGACUCCAACGGGAGGCAGCAGUGAGGAAUAUUGGUCAAUGGGCGCAAGCCUGAACCAGCCAUGCCGCGUGCAGGAAGAAUGCCCUAUGGGUUGUAAACUGCUUUUAUCUGGGAAUAAACCUCUUUACGUGUAGAGAGCUGAAGGUACCAAAUGAAUAAGCACCGGCUAACUCCGUGCCAGCCGCCGCCGUAA
rnacentral:rRNA from 1 species